UAGGGAAUCUUCGGCAAUGGGGGGAACCCUGACCGAGCAACGCCGCGUGAGUGAAGAAGGUUUUCGGAUCGUAAAGCUCUGUUGUUAAGGAAGAACGAGUGUGAGAAUGGAAAGUUCAUGCUGUGACGGUACUUAACCAGAAAGGGACGGCUAACUAAGUGCCAGCAGCCGCGGUAAUACGUAGGUCCCGAGCGUUGUCCGGAUUUAUUGGGCGUAAAGCGAGCGCAGGCGGUUAGAAAAGUCUGAAGUGAAAGGCAGUGGCUCAACCAUUGUAGGCUUUGGAAACUGUUUAACUUGAGUGCAGAAGGGGAGAGUGGAAUUCCAUGUGUAGCGGUGAAAUGCGUAGAUAUAUGGAGGAACACCGGUGGCGAAAGCGGCUCUCUGGUCUGUAACUGACGCUGAGGCUCGAAAGCGUGGGGAGCGAACAGG
rnacentral:rRNA from 1 species